rnacentral:lncRNA from 1 species
GUGUCUUGGGGAAGGAGGGUGAGCAGGCUCAAGCCCGGGGGUGGUUUGUGGGCGCGUGAGGUGGAGAAGGGGCCCAGGCUGGAUGCCAGGGGUGGGAGCAGGCUGGGGAAAGCCCCGGGCCCGACGCCGUCCGCGCCUCUGCGGCCGCCGCCACCACUGGCGCUAGCUGGGCUCCGGGAAGCUAGUCCGGAGCGGAGGAAUCUAUUGUUAUUUAUUGUGUGGCGGUUUCAUGCUGUACUCGCGCGGCCCGGCCCUCGCCCGGGAGUGCGUGUGUGUGUGCGUGUGUGUCUGUGUGUGUGUGUGUGUAUAUGUGAGCGCGCGCGCGUGUGUGACCAAGUGAGUGUGUUUGCGGGGGUGCGCGCGCGGGCGGGAGUGGGCGCGCUCGGGGAAAGGCCCGAAAACACCUUAGUUUGCACCGAGAGACCAUUUGCUGCGGGUGAGUUUGUAUUUUUCCAUUUCUGCUCCACUUUUUCCCAAGCCGCCUCCUGCCUUGUUUCCGACCACUUUAAACAACAAAAACAACAACCAAAAAAAAAAAAAAAAAAAAAGAAAGAAAGAAAGAAAAGAAAAGAAAAAAAAUAUCUACUUUCCAUCUCCCAGCUCCACGUGCAUCUCCCCCAGCCCUCCCCAGAGGCAGCCUCUCUCUUCCCAGGGUCAGGGCCAGGCUCUGGGGUGGGUGGGGGCUGCAGUCGCCUCGGGGGUGGAGGGGUUUCCAGGGGCACUGCUCUCGGGUGUAUUUCCAUAAGUCAAAUGGGGGGUGGGGCGGCGAAGGCAGCGGCGAGGAGGCAAUCUCGCCUUCCCCGUGGCCCCUUCACGCGUUGUUCUGCACUCGCCGUGGAGAGAGAAAUCGAUAAGCCCAGGCGGCCUGGCGUAACUUUCAGUGUCCGUUGUUGGGGUGCCUGUCGAGUAGCUGCCGGGAGGGCGCAGGGCCCGGGGUCAGGUCCACGGCGGGAGGGGGGCGCGCUGCUGGGUGCUUCUCUAGCCCAAAGUUUGGACUUGGAGCAAACUUUUUCCCUUCGCUCAACUGCUAGUGUUUGUCCCCUCUAUGCCCUGGGGCUGCUCCUUGGGCCUCAGCAGAAUGACUGGGGAUGUCCGCGCCCUAGGCCCCACGGCUGGGGACGUCUCUAG